CUGGAAACGGUAGCUAAUACCGCAUAACGUCGCAAGACCAAANAGGGGGACCUUCGGGCCUCUUGCCAUCGGAUGUGCCCAGAUGGGAUUAGCUAGUAGGUGGGGUAAAGGCUCACCUAGGCGACGAUCCCUAGCUGGUCUGAGAGGAUGACCAGCCACACUGGAACUGAGACACGGUCCAGACUCCUACGGGAGGCAGCAUG
rnacentral:rRNA from 1 species